CCUACGGGACGCAGCAGUGGGGAAUAUUGCACAAUGGGGGAAACCCUGAUGCAGCGACGCCGCGUGAGUGAAGAAGUAUUUCGGUAUGUAAAGCUCUAUCAGCAGGGAAGAUAACGACGGUACCUGACUAAGAAGCCCCGGCUAACUACGUGCCAGCAGCCGCGGUAAUACGUAGGGGGCAAGCGUUAUCCGGAUUUACUGGGUGUAAAGGGAGCGUAGACGGCGAUGCAAGUCUGAAGUGAAAGGCGGGGGCCCAACCCCCGGGCUGCUUUGGAAACUGUAUGGCUGGAGUGCAGGAGAGGUAA
rnacentral:rRNA from 1 species